rnacentral:misc_RNA from 2 species
AACGCACCUUGCGCCCUUUGGUAUUCCGAAGGGCAUGCCUGUUUGAGUGUCAUUAAAUUAUCAACCUUGCUCGCUUUUACCGGCUUGAGCUGAGGCUUGGACGUGGGGGGUUUUUGCUGGCUUCCUUCAGUGGAUGGUCUGCUCCCCUUAAAUUCAUUAGCGGGAUCUCUUGUGGACCGUCACUUGGUGUGAUAAUUAUCUAUGCCGUUUGACCUUGAAGCAAAUUUAUGGGACCCUGCUUAUAACCGUCUCUUACCGGGACAAUUUAAUAACAUCUUGACCUCAAAUCAGGUAGGACUACCCGCUGAACUUAA